rnacentral:tRNA from 1 species
CCUUGGUUAGCACAGUUGGUAGAGCACUCCACUGGAAAUGGAGAGGUCCCGGGUUCGAUACUCAAACCAGGCG